rnacentral:lncRNA from 1 species
CCAGUGAUGAAACUGAGGUCCAGGUAGUUAGAUGGUAAAUGUAUGAAGCCUAGAACCAGGCGGUGGCAGGCAAGAUUUGUAGGAAUGACCCCAAGAUUCCACACCCUAAUCCCUGCAAUGUACAAAUGUGAUGGGACAUGGCUGAGUUCCACCAUGGGCUCUGUUUCAUGGCAAGUUGAUUUAUCCGAUGAACGUAUUCCAGUCACAUAAGCUGUUAAAAGUCUCUCCUGUUGGUGACAAAAGAGCAAAGGAGACAAAAGAGAGAAAAUAUGACAGAAAGGGAAAUCAGAGUUUGAAAGCACAAGAAAGAUUUGACGGGCCAUUGUUGUCUUAGAAACAAAAGGGCCAUGUAAAACUGUUCUAAGGAAAUGAAUGCUGCCAACAACCUCAGAGCUUCGAAAGGAAGCCAAGCUCCUGGACAUAACUGCAACUUCUGCCCAAAUUUUGACCUUGUGAGGCUCUAGAGAACCCAGCUGAGCCACACUGCCCAGAUUUCUGAACGGCAGGAAGUGUGAGAUAAUUAAUGGACCUUGUUUUUAGCCAAGAUGUCCAUGGUUGUUACACAGCAACAGAAAAUGAAUACCCUAGUUUUCUGGUUCUAUCACUAUUUUCACCACACCCCUUUAAAUUUAAACAGUGUUAACAGAAAUAGACAGCAGUAAACUGAAAAGGCACAUCGCUUAACUUCUAGCUUUGCUAGUCC